AUAACAAGUCUGACUCAAUUGUUGUUGUGAAUGAUCAAAUUGUAACGCUCCACGAGGAGCUAAUGUUUUGGGAUCAUCCAUCACAGAUAUAGCAUUGCAGCACGAAGCAGAACAUGAAGAACUUGUGAUACGGAGCAGAGACAUAGCAUAUGAAGUUGAAUAUGUUAUCAACUCAUUACCUCAUGUUUGGUAUCUUUCUCUCCGGCUCCCUCAACUCAUUGACAAGAUUCAGCUUAUUAUGAUGGCUGUCAAAGGAAUGAAGAACAAUAUUGAUGUAGCUAGAAUGUCAAUUGUUUCAAAACAUCCACAUGAUCACGUAGAUCCACAGUCAGAAGAUCUCCCAUUUUGGAAGACUUUGUUGUGGGAUUUGACAAUGUAACAACUGAAAUUGUAGAACAACUUGUUCGAGGAACAGACAAGCUACAAAUUAUUUCCAUCUUUGGGAUGCCUGGACUUGGUAAGACGACCUUGGCAAAUAAAUUAUAUAAUCAUCCCUUCGUUUUACAGCAUUUUGACAAGCGUGGCUGGUGUGUUGUUUCUCAAAUGUAUAAUAAGGAAAAUGUUUUGAUUGAAAUUUUGAGCUCAAUGAGUAACAGUAACAGGGACACAUACAUGAAUAUGGACGAAAAAAGCUUGGCUACAAAUCUUUACCAAAACAUAAUAGGAAGCCGAUACUUCAUUGUGAUAGAUGAUAUAUGGGAUAUCAAUGUGUGGAUUGAUUUGAAAAGAUAUUUUCCAGAUGACGGAAAUGGAAGCAGAAUCUUAUUCACUACUCGAAAUAAAGAAGUGGGUUUGAAAGCUUUACCUCGUAGUGUCAUAAAGGAACUUCCUUUUCUGUCAGAAGUUGAAUGUUGGGAAAUAUUACAAGAAAAAGUGUUCCAAGAUAAAAAUUGUCCUCAAGAAUUGCUAGACAUUGGCAAGCAAAUUGCAAAAAACUGUCAUGGCCUACCACUUGCAGUGGUCGUGAUAGCUGGAGUUCUUGCAAACAUGGAGAAGAAAAAACAUUUGUGGGAAAAAGUUGCAAGAAAUUUAAGUUCACAUAACUCCGAAAUACCAGAGAAGUGCAUCCAAAUAUUGCAGCUUAGCUACAACCAUUUACCAAUGCUUUUGAAACCAUGUUUUCUUUACUUCGGAGCAUUCAAAGAAGACAGGAAGAUCCCUGUGCGGAAGUUGAUUUAUCUCUGGGUUGCCGAAGGAUUUAUAAAGAAGGAAGAACAGAAGAACAUAGAGGACGUGGCACGAGAAUAUCUAAUGAAACUAAUUGAUAGGAGCCUAGUACUUGUUGUUGGAAGCACAUAUAAUGGAGAAGUCGAAGCAUGCAAGAUUCAUGAUCUAUUGCGUGAAAUGUGCUUGAAAAUAGCUAAUGAAAAUAACUUUUUGAAGUUGAUCGAACGGUAAGUUCAAUGUUUCUCUUCUUUUCUCUUUCCUUUUCGUCCAUUUUUUAUUUUAGCUUACUAAGAAUGGUUAUUAUAUUUGAUAACCAUAACAAUUAUGUGAUAUGUUGCUUUGUUACCAGUAAUGAUGAUGAUGAACAACGUUUCUUCAGUCAAGUAUCAACGUAUCAGCAGCACCAUCGUCUGAGUAUCAACUGUGCAAAAUCUUCUAGUUCACUACCCGUUGGCCUACACGUACGCUCUCUUCUAUUUGAUUCGGAUUUUUUGAGUGCCAUCAGGUUUAUCUCAUCCAGCUACAAAGUUCUUAGGGUCUUUUGGGGAUGGUCACGGAAUGAUAUUCUAAUAGGACUUGAACAUCUAGUUCACUUGAGGUACUUGGAAAUUUCAUGUAUGCUGCCACCAAUGGAAAACUUCCGCAAAUUAGAAUUUCUUGUUGUGUACAAUCAUGAUGAAAUUGAAAUACCUGAGAUCCUUCUUAAUAUGGUGAGUUUG
rnacentral:lncRNA from 1 species